rnacentral:rRNA from 1 species
AGUUCCUUCGGGGACAAGUAAAGUGGCGCACGGGUGAGUAAUACACGGGUAAUCUACCUUCAAGUCAAGGAUAACUCCGCGAAAGUGGGGCUAAUACUGGAUAAGACCACAUCCUGUACGCAGGGAGUGGUAAAAGAUGACCUCUACAUGUAAGUUGUCACUUGUAGAUGAGCCCAUGCACUAUUAGCUUGUUGGUAGGGUAAUGGCUUACCAAGGCUUCGAUAGUUAGCCAACCUGAGAGGGUGAUUGGCCACACUGGAACUGAGAUACGGUCCAGACUCCUACGGGAGGCAGCAGUGAGGAAUAUUGCGCAAUGGGGGAAACCCUGACGCAGCAACGCCGUGUGAGUGAUGAAGGCCUUCGGGUUGUAAAACUCUGUCAGAUAGGACGAAUCUUUGGAGGUUAAUACCCUCUAAAGUUGACUGUACUAUCAGAGGAAGCCCCGGCUAACUCCGUGCCAGCAGCCGCGGUAAUACGGGGGGGGCAAGCGUUGUUCGGAAUUAUUGGGCGUAAAGGGCGUGUAGGUGGUUUUGCAAGUCAGACGUGAAAGCCCACUGCUCAACAGUGGAAGUGCGUUUGAAACUGCAUCACUUGAGU